ACCAACUGGUCUCAGACCAUUUCGACCCGUAGUCUGAAACCGGAUCGACGACCAAAUCAACACACGCAUCCUGACCUAGCGAGGAGCGCCUCCACCGCCCGCCGUCCACCGCCCACCGCCGCCAAACCAGGAUCUUCCGCCGCCGCCCGCCGCCCGACUGGAGCUUGGUCGCGGCCUUCCCAUCCAUCUGACACCAUCCGUCCAGGUGCAGUGGAUCGCCGUCUUCCCCUCCCUGGCUGGAGCUUGGCCGCCGGUCACCGCUACGACUCUACGGUUAGGGAUCGCCGCUGCCAUUGCCACUGGUUGGAGCUCGGCAGGUCAGUGCAUCACCAGCCUUCUCUCCCCCCUCUCUCCCUCUCUCUCCUCUCUCUCUAUCUCUGAACCCCACCCGUCUCUGCAGGUGAGGGUGGGACGCCGCCGAUCAAGAGUCCGCCGCCGGUGACCGGUCGUCCUGAAAGUAUGGAGCCGCUGUAGGAUGUGAGUGGUGCAGCAAAGGAACAAGAGGGAGAGCAUACAUCAUAGUCCUCAGCUGAGGGUAAGUGAUUCUUUGUCCUGAAAGAAACACAGUGACAGAGAGCGUUCAGGUUCAGUGAAGAACUGAGCCUAGUUUUCAGAGUGAUUAAGAAAGAAAUUUCUUUUUCUUUGCAUUUUAGGUCCGAUUAUGAUGCUCCUGUGAAGUACCUAUGCACAUUUUAGGUUCAGGUUCAGUCAAAUUUUUUACAUGGAGCAUUCAGGUUCAGUGAAGAACACAUUUGCUGUUUUAAGAGGAAAAUUAUAUCGGACAUGAUUUAAUUUUCUGUUAGCAUGGUCUUUCUAAAUGACACAGCAGUGGCCAAGGAUAACUACAUAAUAUGUCCACAUCAGGGAUGCCGUGAUCUUUGUCUCUGUCGAUCUCUGUCGUGGCCACUCGAUCUCUAUCUCUGUUGUGGAUAGAGAUCGCUAUUCUGCGGAGUACCUAUGCACGUAGCUACAGUAGCUGUAUCUCUCACCACUCUUUGUUGACGACAUGUGUAAUCAUGCUAACAGAAAAAGAAUCUGUGGAUGUAUCUACAUAUGAUCUUGUAGUUUCAGACUAACAUAUAUUACCAAAUGCAAAUAUCGUUGCUGAAGAACUCAGUUAACAAGUUGAGUUUCAGAACAAUAUAAGUUGCUCUGUUUAUGAGUGCAAGCAUAUUUGAUUAUUAUUGAACUAUUUUUGCAUCUGUGCAACUGUUAUUAUUGGGGGCAUACAACUGUUUAAGUUGUUACAUACUAUUCUUAAUUGACAGGUCACAUUGUUCUGAACCUUUUAUUAUGUUUGUAAUUCUAAUGUUCCGGUCUAAAUCUUCAUCAUGUUGCCGAGAGGAUGCGGCGUGUAGUCAGAGUUUCAGUCAGCGAUACAUAUUGUAGAUUAUGAAACAUAUAGUACUACUAGUAGUAUAGGUAACUGUACUGGAUGCCCCAAGUUAUAUUCAUUUGCACUUCCGUAUAUAAAUACAAUACCUUUCUUGUUGCCAGAUUUGACUGAUUAUGCACAGAGAAAUUGAUGUGUCUAUUUGUGCUAAAUGCUACCUUGGCCGUGAGAAAGCAGAGUGAUAUUUGUGCAAAAACAGAGUGAUAUUUGGUCAAUUCUCCUUGGACUUUGAGUGAUGGUUCACACUUCACCUCAGCAAACUAGUCUCAAGUGACAUAAUGUACCACUAUUCUUUGGUCAAAAUACUCUGCUUUCCCGUCACGAAAAUUCUCUUCAUUUGACCACAUACUAACAGUGUAUAAUGGCAGGGAUGUGAUGGAUGUCUAGUUUUUGUUUUUUGUUUUUUUAGAAGCAUCCAUAGGGAAUUAUUGCUUUCCAUGUUAAGAUAAAAACAGAGCAUAGCAACCAUAGAAGUGAUAUUCUUCUAAGCCUGCAGAUUUUUUGAAUUGAAGAAAUCUAUGUUCUGCUAGUGAGAUAUGGUCGUGUUAAAGUGCGGUGAUUGCUAUGCACAUAAUUGAUCACAGUGACAACUUGAAUAUCAUUCUGAUGUACUUGUUAAUAUACUCAGGUAUCAAGAAGAAAGCCGGGGUAGAAGAAACCAUUCAGAAAAGGGAGAUCAAGUCCAGCAACUAUGUAAAAUUCAUUCUGUAACUGAGUUAACAUUCAGCAACUAUGUAAAAUUCCAUUGUCACAUCCAUUCUGUGUAAUAAUUCUAGACCCCAUGAUGUAACAUCCAACGGCUACUUAGCUAAUCAGCAAGCUAUCCUUUUCCUAGUAAAACUGGUUUGCUACUCUUAUUCAUUGUCCAUGGAUUGAAACUAUGGGUUGAAUCCAUAAAUGGCAUAUGGUUUGGAUUGGUUUGGG
rnacentral:lncRNA from 1 species